AUUGAACGCUGGCGGCAGGCUUAACACCUGCAAGUCGAACGAGUGGCGGACGGGUGUGUAAUGUCUGGGAAUUUAGCCUUUGGAGGGGGAUACCUUCAGGAAACCGUAGCUAACACCGCGUACCAUAGGAUGAGCCUAAGUGGGGUUAGGUAGUUGGUGAGGUAAAGGCUCACCAAGCCGACUAGAUCUAGCGGGUCUGAGAGGAUGACCAGCCACACUGGGACUGGGACACGGCCCAGACUCCUACGGGAGGCAGCAGGGGGGAAUAUUGCGCAAUGGGGGCAACCUGACGCAGCCAUGCCGCGUGAAUGAAGAAGGCCUUCGGGUUGUAAAGUUCUUUCGGUAGCGAGGCGUUAACUACAGAAGAAGCACCGGCUAACUCCGUGCCAGCAGCCGCGGUAAUAC
rnacentral:rRNA from 1 species